GCCGGUGUGGCUCAGUGGAUAGAGCGUCGGCCUGCGGACUGAAUGAUCGCAGGUUUGAUUCCUGUCAAGGGCA
rnacentral:tRNA from 1 species